CCUGUGACUAGAGAGAGCGAGCUGAGAGAGAGUAAACACUGAAGGCGUGUGUUGAUUUUCUGUCCUCUUUCAAUAAACUGCAGACGUGGUCCACCGAAGCCAGUGGUGUCGUUGAGUUCUUU